AUAUCGGAACGUACCCUGGAGUGGGGGAUAACGUAGCGAAAGUUACGCUAAUACCGCAUACGAUCUAAGGAUGAAAGUGGGGGAUCGCAAGACCUCAUGCUCCUGGAGCGGCCGAUAUCUGAUUAGCUAGUUGGUAGGGUAAAAGCCUACCAAGGCAUCGAUCAGUAGCUGGUCUGAGAGGACGACCAGCCACACUGGAACUGAGACACGGUCCAGACUCCUACGGGAGGCAGCAGUGGGGAAUUUUGGACAAUGGGCGCAAGCCUGAUCCAGCAAUGCCGCGUGAGUGAAGAAGGCCUUCGGGUUGUAAAGCUCUUUUGUCAGGAAGAAACGUGAGAGCUAAUAUCUCUUGCUAAUGACGGUACCUGAAGAAUAAGCACCGGCUAACUACGUGCCAGCAGCCGCGGUAAUACGUAGGGUGCAAGCGUUAAUCGGAAUUACUGGGCGUAAAGCGUGCGCAGGCGGUUUUGUAAGUUUGUCGUGAAAUCCCCGGGCUCAACCUGGGAAUGGCGAUGAAGACUGCAAGGCUAGAGUUUGGCAGAGGGGGGUAGAAUUCCACGUGUAGCAGUGAAAUGCGUAGAUAUGUGGAGGAACACCGAUGGCGAAGGCAGCCCCCUGGGUCAAAACUGACGCUCAUGCACGAAAGCGUGGGGAGCAAACAGGAUUAGAUACCCUGGUAGUCCACGCCCUAAACGAUGUCUACUAGUUGUCGGGUCUUAAUUGACUUGGUAACGCAGCUAACGCGUGAAGUAGACCGCCUGGGGAGUACGGUCGCAAGAUUAAAACUCAAAGGAAUUGACGGGGACCCGCACAAGCGGUGGAUGAUGUGGAUUAAUUCGAUGCAACGCGAAAAACCUUACCUACCCUUGACAUGGCUGGAAUCCUUGAGAGAUCAGGGAGUGCUCGAAAGAGAACCAGUACACAGGUGCUGCAUGGCUGUCGUCAGCUCGUGUCGUGAGAUGUUGGGUUAAGUCCCGCAACGAGCGCAACCCUUGUCAUUAGUUGCUACGAAAGGGCACUCUAAUGAGACUGCCGGUGACAAACCGGAGGAAGGUGGGGAUGACGUCAAGUCCUCAUGGCCCUUAUGGGUAGGGCUUCACACGUCAUACAAUGGUACAUACAGAGCGCCGCCAACCCGCGAGGGGGAGCUAAUCGCAGAAAGUGUAUCGUAGUCCGGAUUGUAGUCUGCAACUCGACUGCAUGAAGUUGGAAUCGCUAGUAAUCGCGGAUCAGCAUGUCGCGGUGAAUACGUUCCCGGGUCUUGUACACACCGCCCGUCACACCAUGGGAGCGGGUUUUACCAGAAGUAGGUAGCUUAACCGCAAGGAGGGCGCU
rnacentral:rRNA from 1 species